rnacentral:rRNA from 1 species
CCUACGGGUGGCAGCAGUCGAGAAUCAUUCACAAUGGGGGAAACCCUGAUGGUGCGACGCCGCGUGGGGGAAUGAAGGUCUUCGGAUUGUAAACCCCUGUCAUGUGGGAGCAAAUUAAAAAGAUAGUACCACAAGAGGAAGAGACGGCUAACUCUGUGCCAGCAGCCGCGGUAAUACAGAGGUCGCAAGCGUUGUUUGGAAUCACUGGGCGUAAAGUGUGCGUAGGCUGUUUCGUAAGUCGUGUGUGAAAGGCGCGGGCUCAACCCGCGGACGGCACAUGAUACUGCGAGACUAGAGUAAUGGAGGGGGGACCGGAAUUCUCGGUGUAGCAGUGAAAUGCGUAGAUAUCGAGAGGAACACUCGUGGCGAAGGCGGGUUCCUGGACAUUAACUGACGCUGAGGCACGAAGGCCAGGGGAGCGAAAGGGAUUAGAUACCCCAGUAGUC